AGAGUUUGAUCAUGGCUCAGGAUAAACGCUGGCGGCGUGCCUAACACAUGCAAGUCGAACGCCCUCGGGCAACUGAGGGAGUGGCGGACGGGUGAGGAACACGUGGGCAUCUACCUUGAGGUGAGGAAUACCGGCGAGAAAUCGCCGACAAUACCGCAUACGCUUCUUUGGAAGCAAAGCUCGCAAGAGCGCCACAAGAU
rnacentral:rRNA from 1 species